AACUCGGUCUCCACUGCACUGCUGGCCAGACGAGGGAUGUUAUUUUGGGCAGUGCAUCUGGACUUGGUUCAAGUGGCACCAGCCAAAUCCCUGCCUUACUGACCUCUCCCCUGGAGGAGCAGGAGCAGUGCUCAAGGCCGCCCUGGGAGGGCUGAGAGGCAGGCUCUGGACUGGGGACACAGGGAUAGCUGAGCCCCAGCUGGGGGUGGAAGCUGAGCCAGGGACAGUCACAGAGGAACAAGAUCAAGAUGCGCUUUAACUGAGAAGCCCCCAAGGCAGAGGCUGAGAAUCAGAAGACAUUUCAGCAGACAUCUACAAAUCUGAAGGACAAAACAUGGUUCAAGCAUCUGGGCACAGGCGGUCCACCCGUGGCUCCAAAAUGGUCUCCUGGUCCGUGAUAGCAAAGAUCCAGGAAAUAUGGUGCGAGGAAGAUGAGAGGAAGAUGGCGCGAGAGUUCCUGGCCGAGUUCAUGAGCACAUAUGUCAUGAUGGAGUGGCUGACCGGGAUGCUCCAGCUGUGUCUCUUCGCCAUCGUGGACCAGGAGAACAACCCAGCACUGCCAGGAACACACGCACUGGUGAUAGGCAUCCUCGUGGUCAUCAUCAGGGUGUACCAUGGCAUGAACACAGGAUAUGCCAUCAAUCCGUCCCGGGACCUGCCCCCCCCCCCCGCAUCUUCACCUUCAUUGCUGGUUGGGGCAAACUGGUCUUCAGGUACUGCCCCUGCCCAGGCCCAUUCCUUUGAGAUUUUCUGUGGGGCCCCUGUGUGUUGAGGUGUGGGGGGUGAUGUGAGGGGCAGCACAGGAGGGUCCUGCAGAGCCCCCAGGUGGCCUGGGGAGCAGGAGUGAGUCCCAACAUUUCCCCAGGCCAGUAGAGAUACAGAUCCUGCACCUGCACUGAGUGUCAACCCUGUCCCUGAGUCGGGCUGAGGCUGACCAGGGCCCCGGGUUGGGGGUGUUUCCUGGGUUAGCCUGAGGAUGACUCCUCUGCUCAACCAGUCUUGGCCCGAGGUGGAUGAGGGUGCUGUCCUGGGCAUCAGCCCCCUCAGCCGGCCUCUGCCUCUUGCCUGCAGCGAUGGGGAGAACUUGUGGUGGGUGCCAGUGGUGGCACCACUUCUGGGUGCCUCUCUAGGUGGCAUCAUCUACCUGGUCUUCAUUGGCUCCACCAUCCCACGGGAGCCCCUGAAAUUGGAGGACUCUGUGGCAUAUGAAGACCACGGGAUAACCGUAUUGCCCAAGAUGGGAUCUCAUGAACCCAUGAUCUCUCCCCUUACCCUCAUCUCCGUGAGCCCUGCCAACAGAUCUUCAGUCCACCCUGCCCCACCCUUACAUGAAUCCAUGGCCCUAGAGCACUUCUAAGCAGAGAUUAUUUGUGAUCCCAUCCCUUCCCCAAUAAAGAGAAGCUUGUCCCACAGCAGUACCCCCACUUCCUGGGGGCCUCCUGUGGUUGGGCUUCCCUCCUGGGUUCUUCCAGGAGCUCUAGGGCUAUGUCUUAGCCCAAGGUGUAGAGGUGAGGCACCUCAAGUCUUUCAUGCCCUGGGAACUGGGGUGCCCCAGGGGGAGAAUGGGGAAGAGCUGACCUGCGCCCUCAGUAGGAACAAGGUAAGAUGAAAGAAUGACAGAAACAGAAUGAGGGAUUUUCAGGCAAGGGGGAAGGAAGGGCAGUUUUGGUGAAAGGACUGUAGCUGACUGGUGGGGGGCUGGCUUUGGAAAUACUUUGAGGGGAUCCUGAGACUGGACUCUAGACUCUCCCCUGGUUGUUCCCUUCCCCGAGUUCUGGCCGGUUCUUGGACCAGACAAGGCAUGGCCCAAGAAGGUAGAUCAGAAUUUUUUAGCCUUUUUUUCAUUAGUGCCUUCCCUAGUAUAAUUCCAGAUUUUUUUUCUUAAUCACAUGAAAUUUUAAUACCACAGAUAUACUAUACAUCUGUUUAUGUUCUGUAUAUGUUCUGUGCUUUAUACGUAAAAAAGAGUAAGAUUUUUUUUCACCUCCCCUUUUAAGAAUCAGUUUUAAUUCCCUUGAGAAUGCUUGUUAUAGAUUGAAGGCUGGUAAGGGGUUGGGCUCCUCUUUCUUCUUCCUGGUGCCAGAGUGCUCCCACAUGAAGGAAUAGGAAAGGAAGAUGCAAAGAGGGAAAUCCUUCGAACACAUGAAGACACAGGAAGAGGCCUCUUAGGGCUCCAAGGGCUCCAGGGAAGCAGCUGCAGAGGUUGGGUGGGGUGAGGGGCCAGGAUCCACUGACCCUGGGGCCAGGCAGGAAUCACUCUGUUGCCUGGGGCUCAGAAGGCAGUAUCACCCAUGGUUCCUGUCAUUGCUCAUGUAUUUUGCCUUUCAACAAUUAUUGUGCACCUACUGUGUGCAGGCCCUGCCUGGACACUGGGGAUGCGCAGUGGAUGCACUGGGCUCUGCCUUUGAGGGUUGCAGUUUAAUGGGUGACAGGUAAUUAUAAGGAAGAAGGUGAGUGCAGAGUGGGAGGCUUGGAGGCUGUGGGGCUUGGGGUGGGGGAGCUCACAUCCAGCCUCUGGGCCAAGGCCAGGAGGCUUCCCAGAGCAGGAGACAGAGCAGGGUAUUGUGGUGGGGGGUGUCCUUUUUGGGGCUGGGAUCUGCACUUUACAGUUUGAGGGGAUGGGCAGAGGAGGCUGGGCUUCAUUCUGGAGGUGGGGACAUGGUGAGGUGAGGUUUAGAAAGCACACCUGAGCCGCAGUGUGUAGGAUGCUGGAAAUGGUGGAGAUGGGCCUGCGAAGAGAGUGCUGGGAAGUGAUGACCCAGGAGCAGCAGCCGGGCACCUAACAAUGGGUCAGCACCGUGGGCGUGGAGACAAAGGCCGGGAUUGAUCAAUACCCGAGAAGUACAAUGUACAGGACUUGGGCUCCAUUUGGAUGGAGUGGGUGAGGGAGGAGUCAGAAAUGGCUUCCGAUUUCCAGCUUGGGCCUGGGGAUUGGAGAUGUCCCCACUGAGAGUAGGGCACAAGUGAGGAAAUGGUUUGGAGAGGAAGAUGAUAAGUUACAUCAUGGAUGUGCUGAGUCUGAGUUGCCUAUGGGACUUGGAAUGGGGGGUGGCAAAAGGUGUGUGAUCUUGAGCAAGAUAUUCAACUCUUCUGGGCCUUGGUCUUCUCAUUUGUAAAACGGUGAUAAGAAUAUUACUUCCCAUUUGUGUUGCUGUGAAUAUUAAAUGCGCUACCACAUGU